UUUUGAUUUGAAAGGCGCUUUCGGGUGUCGCUGAUGGAUGGACCCGCGGUGCAUUAGCUAGUUGGUGAGGUAACGGCUCACCAAGGCCACGAUGCAUAGCCGACCUGAGAGGGUGAUCGGCCACAUUGGGACUGAGACACGGCCCAAACUCCUACGGGAGGCAGCAGUAGGGAAUCUUCGGCAAUGGACGAAAGUCUGACCGAGCAACGCCGCGUGAGUGAAGAAGGUUUUCGGAUCGUAAAACUCUGUUGUUAGAGAAGAACAAGGAUGAGAGUAACUGUUCAUCCCUUGACGGUAUCUAACCAGAAAGCCACGGCUAACUACGUGCCAGCAGCCGCGGUAAUACGUAGGUGGCAAGCGUUGUCCGGAUUUAUUGGGCGUAAAGCGAGCGCAGGCGGUUUCUUAAGUCUGAUGUGAAAGCCCCCGGCUCAACCGGGGAGGGUCAUUGGAAACUGGGAGACUUGAGUGCAGAAGAGGAGAGUGGAAUUCCAUGUGUAGCGGUGAAAUGCGUAGAUAUAUGGAGGAACACCAGUGGCGAAGGCGGCUCU
rnacentral:rRNA from 1 species